UCUUCUUCUCGCUGCUAAUCUGCAGCUUUUGCGGCUAAAAAUCAUAAUGUAACAUUCCGUCGAACAGAUGACACGCGGACACUUCUUUUCUCCUGUUCGCUCUGUUAAACAAGCAACUUUUACAGCUCGAAACCACAGCCCAAUCCGCUUUUUCCACCAUGUCACUGGUGGCAGCAGGAACGACGGCAACAGAACAAAACACAAACUACGUAGACAAGGGGAGAUAGGCAGCAGCUUGCAGCAGGAUUGAAGGGGGGCAAUGGAGCAGAGGUUCCGGGGCAGCUCUGCGUCUGUAGCAGGCCGCUUUUGACCUCUGCUUUUGGCAAAGCUGAUGUUUUUAGAGGAAGAGAGUGAUAGAGGAAGAGUGACAUAAAAGAACGCCACAGACCAAGAAGUAGACGACGACACGAUGAGUAAAGGCUCCGUCUGCUUUCUGGCAAAGCUGAUGUGUUUAUAGGAAGAGGGAGACAGAGGAAGAGGCAUAAAACAACGCCACGGACCAAGAAGAAGACGACGACACGAGGGGCAAAGGCUCCCUGAACGCUGCUUUGCUGCCUCCACAGUCGCAGCAGCUGCCUCUUGCUUUAAUCCUUUCUUCCUUUCAUUUUUAUGCCCCGCCGCUUCCGCCUUCGGCUUCCCUUCCCUUCCUUGCGUCUCUCGCCUCCUGGUUCGUUUGGUCGGAAAAGAUCAUGGGGAUCGAUCUGAACAUCAUCGAGGAAGAGGAGGAGGAGGAGGAGGAAGAAGAGAGGAAGGUGGCUGCGGCCGCUUGUUGUGGUGGAGGGGGGUCGGUGUGUAUGGAGCUGUGGCACGCCUGUGCCGGGCCGCAGAUAUGGCUGCCUAGGAAGGGAAGCUUGGUGGUCUACUUCCCGCAGGGGCACCUCGAGCAGCUUGGAGCGGCCGGCUGCGGCGGUGGCCUUGUCGCGCCCCGCGAUGUGCCUCCCCAUGUUCUCUGUAGGGUGUUGGAUGUCAAACUUCGAGCGGAGGAGGAGACGGAUGACGUUUAUGCUCAACUCUAUCUGGUUGCCGAGAACAAGGAAUUGGAGAAACAGCUGCAAGAUGACGAGGCUGGAGAAAGAAGGCAAGUGGAGGAGAGUGCUGAUUUUAGCAAGGCCUUUACCACGCACAUGUUUUGUAAGACCCUGACUGCUUCCGACACAAGCAGCCAUGGAGGCUUCUCUAUCCCUCGCCGAGCUGCUGAGGACUGUUUUCCUCCCCUGGAUUAUAAGCAGCCAAGGCCAUCACAAGAGCUUGCUGCUAAGGACUUGCAUGGCACUGAAUGGAGAUUCCGACAUAUCUACAGGGGACAACCUCGCAGGCAUUUGCUAACAACAGGAUGGAGUGCAUUUAUUAACAAGAAAAAGCUGGUCUCCGGGGAUUCUGUGCUCUUUCUCCGGGGCAAUGAUGGGGAGCUUAGGUUGGGUAUACGGAGGUCUGAUCAACUGACGAGAGUCAUUCAUUCUCCUUUUAAUAAAAAAAAUCUUGGCAUACUCACUGAUCUAGCCAAUGCUGUGUCUGCAAGAAUGGUAUUCUGCAUUAAUUACAACCCGAGGGAAGGCAAAUCAGAGUUCAUCAUUCCCUAUUGGAAGUUCACAAAGAGCUUUAAUCAUUCAUUUUCUAUUGGAACAAGGUUUAAAAUGAUAAUUGACUGUGAAUAUGCUGCAGACAGAAGCAGGUGCACAGGAUUGAUUACUGGGACUGGUGAGCUGGACCCUCUUAGGUGGCCCGGUUCAAAAUGGAAAUGUCUUUUGGUGAGAUGGGAUGAUGAGGUGGAUAUAACUAGUGAUAACAGGGUAUCUCCUUGGGAUAUCGAGCCAACAGAUUCAAUUUCACUGUCAUAUGUUCCACCAACAACUGGUCCAAAGAGAACCAAAACAUUUCAUCCUUGGGACCAUCUGGAUCAUCCAAUUCCAAAUGGAGUUGCAUAUCCUGACUUGGGGGAAUCUGCAAGGUUCCUCGAGGUCUUGCAAGGUCAAGAAGUUAUGGGUUCGAGAACCCUUUAUGAUGGUGUUGACAUAUCAAACACCAAUAUUAGAAACAACGUUGGAAUUCCAGUCGGUCAUUUUAACUUCCCCCACAAGGGAUUUGGAGAAUCUGUACCACUCGGCAAGGUCUUGCAAGGUCAAGAAUUAUAUCCAACGGUGCCCACAUUUCAAAGUACUCCGAUGAAUGCUUUGCCAGAAAGCGGUGCUAGGCUCUUAAGUCGCUUGCUCGGCAUAGGAAGCAGUUGGGCAAGAUCAUUUCAGGAUUCCAGCUUCCUUGGGAAAUCGACUCCAACUUCUGUUCCAAUGUUUCGGCAAGAAAGUGCACAGUUUUCACACCCUGGUGCAGUUUCCACCACAGAUGAGCAUGACAAGAGCUCGUUUGGCACAGAGAAACAAAUGCCUUGUGUUCCCUGUAACAUGGUAGAUGAGUUUGCUAAGGGACAUUAUAGUUCAGUAGAUCCAAAGAAUGAUGAGAAUGCUCUUCCUCAUGGUAUCAAAAGCUAUAGGCUUUUUGGAUUCAGUCUGACCGAGACGAUCCCAGCAGCAAAUAUAAGUGCAGGUUCGGUGACCGACAUGCAUUAUGAAGAAUCCGAAUCGCCGGGGUAUCGGAAGCCAAGCUCUACAGGCAGGGCUGUUGAUCACCUGAAGCUGGGGCCUCGUGAUGAUCUGAUGCUUCAACUGGGAGCUGUUUGACAUGGAGCGCGGAGACUGGACAUGGUGGAGCAUCUCUCGUCACUUAGUGGUUGGUCAACUGCGCUCUCGACAACUGAUGAUCAAAUCUGAUCCCUCCAAGACGAUGACUUGAGCCACGACUUUAGUCCCCAUAAGCAGAGUUCUCCAUGACUGAAGUCGUGACUCGAGUAGGGGCUCGUCGCAGCCAUCGAAGGUAUUUGAUUCUCAUGCCACUUUUAACUGUAAGCGUGAAUCAUGCUUCAUUCUAUUCUUAAUCUUAUCUCUCACAUAACAUAUUCCUAGACGUUGACUCAACUCAUACGUCAAUCCCGAUGGUUGCCGUGUGUUAUUCACCGUUGGUUGAUGACCACCACGAGUUGACUUGAAGACGAGUUAUGCUUCUUUCUUUUGGAGUAAUCGGGUUCUCGCCAUUGCCCAAAAGUAAAAGCAAAAUAUGAGUCCACGUGUUGCUUCUCCAUUAGCUGCUCCCUGGGGUCCGCUAGCACCAU